UACAGAGGGGGCAAGCGUUGUUCGGAAUUACUGGGCGUAAAGGGCGCGUAGGUGGCCAACUAAGUCAGACGUGAAAUCCCUCGGCUUAACCGGGGAACUGCGUCUGAUACUGGAUGGCUUGAGUUUGGGAGAGGGACGCGGAAUUCCAGGUGUAGCGGUGAAAUGCGUAGAUAUCUGGAGGAACACCGGUGGCGAAGGCGGCGUCCUGGACCAACACUGACACUGAGGAGCGAAAGCCAGGGGAGCAAACGGG
rnacentral:rRNA from 1 species